AGUGAACGCUGGCGGUAGGCCUAACACAUGCAAGUCGAACGGCAGCACAGUAAGAGCUUGCUCUUACGGGUGGCGAGUGGCGGACGGGUGAGGAAUACAUCGGAAUCUACUUUUUCGUGGGGGAUAACGUAGGGAAACUUACGCUAAUACCGCAUACGACCUACGGGUGAAAGCAGGGGAUCUUCGGACCUUGCGCGAUUGAAUGAGCCGAUGUCGGAUUAGCUAGUUGGCGGGGUAAGGGCCCACCAAGGCGACGAUCCGUAGCUGGUCUGAGAGGAUGAUCAGCCACACUGGAACUGAGACACGAUCCAGACUCCUACGGGAGGCAGCAGUGGGGAAUAUUGGACAAUGGGCGCAAGCCUGAUCCAGCCAUACCGCGUGGGUGAAGAAGGCCUUCGGGUUGUAAAGCCCUUUUGUUGGGAAAGAAAAGCAGCAGGUUAAUACCCCGCUGUUCUGACGGUACCCAAAGAAUAAGCACCGGCUAACUUCGUG
rnacentral:rRNA from 1 species